rnacentral:misc_RNA from 1 species
AGACAACUCAUAUGGAAUAAGAAUUACAAUGUGAAGCCACGGGAGAUUAGUCAAGCUCAGGAUAGGUUAACAGACUCGCUUCAAAAUAUAUACAAAACUUGUCCCCAAUACAGGGAAAUUUUGAGGAUGAUCAUGUCUACUGUUGGUCGUGGUGGUGAAGGCGAUGUGGGACAGCGUAUCCGUGAUGAAAUUUUAGUAAUCCAGAGAAACAAUGAUUGCAAGGGUGGGAUGAUGGAGGAAUGGCACCAGAAGCUACAUAAUAACACCAGUCCUGAUGAUGUUGU